UACGGAGGGUGCGAGCGUUGUCCGGAAUCAUUGGGCGUAAAGGGCGCGUAGGUGGCCCGGUCAGUCUUUGGUGAAAGCGCGGGGCUCAACCCUGCGUCGGCCAGGGAUACUGCCGCGGCUCGAGCACUGUAGAGGCAGGCGGAAUUCCGGGUGUAGCGGUGGAAUGCGUAGAGAUCCGGAAGAACACCGGUGGCGAAAGCGGCUCUCUGGAACGGUACUGACGCUGAGACGCGAAAGCGUGGGGAGCGAACAGG
rnacentral:rRNA from 1 species